rnacentral:rRNA from 1 species
GACCCGAACCUGGGUGAUCUAUCCAUGACCAGGAUGAAGCUUGGAUGAAACUAAGCAGAGGUCUGAACCGACUGAUGUUGAAGAAUCAGCGGAUGAGUUGUGGUUAGGGGUGAAAUGCCACUCAAACCCAGAGCUAGCUGG